CCUCUGCGGCCGGCCGCCUACCUCGCAGCGGGCGGCCCGGGCCCCCCCGACCCGCCCCCCUGGGCGCGCGGCAGCCCCCGCGGAGAACUCCGCAGUGCUCUCCCCUGGCUCGCGGAAUAAAGUCCCAGCUCCUGCGGGGGCCUCUCCGGCGGCCCCAGGCCCCCAGACGCGCUUUGCCGAGGGGCAGAUGGGGAAACUGAGGCACAGAGGAGCAACUUGCUGAGAAUUACUCAGCAGGUGUGGGAUUUGAACCCAGGCGCCAUAGACCACUAACCACUGGACACCAAAAAAGCCCCAGGGGAGCCAGACGGUGGGGAAGAACACCGAGGAAUAAAGUAUUUCAGAACCCAGACUUUAUCUGGAGGCAGUGAGGUACCCUUCUUGAGGCAAUGGAUCAUGAUUUGCUUGGGUCAAUCAUGGCAAUCCUAUUCCAGCUUUCUCAGCCUCCUUUGUCCUGGCUGUGACCACAGAACAUCUUGCCUCCAUGAGAGAAGGCCAAGGCAACUGCACUGUGGGAGCACUGACAUCUGUGAACAACUGGGCUCCAGCAACAGCCAGUAUCUGGAAUUCUUGUAAGUAGAUGCUGUCGAUGCCCCACCUAUAUCCCCUAGCACUCACCAGUCCACCUUCUGGCUGCAAGCACCAGCAACUCUGCCCAAGGACGUUCUCUGGCCUCAGGAGACAGCUUAGCCUGUGAAGAGGGCAAGCAGAAGUGUCAGAGAGUUAGCGCUCACAGGGCAGGUCUUAGCCAACAGUGAUUGGAAUUGGCAGGUGUCUCACCUGUUCCACUUGGAAGAUGUGGGGCUGGAGCUCUGGCAGCCAUCUUGCUUGAAACCAGCUUUACUACUUCUGAAUAUAAAGACAGAACAUGUGUUGCAGGAGAUGGCAAUGAUGGCCUCUCUUUAACCCUCCCUGUAUCCCCCUGCCGUGUAACUUAUUGGUGCCUCUAACUUGGAUUCUGAGUUCUACCACAUGACUUGUUGUGGCCAGUGGGAUUUUAGCAGGUGUGAUGGGAAGCAGAAGCUUGACAUUUGCUUCCAUGAUUGGACUUAUUUGCAUUUCCACCACUGCCAUGAGGAUGCCUCAUGGGGCCACCCACAGGGUAAGAGAUAAUGUGGAGCAGAGUUGUCUCAACUGCCAAGCCGAGGUCAGUCUAGAUCAUCCAACAGCCAGCCUAUGCCCAGACAUGAAAGAGCCCAGCCAAGAUCAGCCGAGCUGCCUGGCCAACCAUUGCAACAUGAGCAAUAAAUGCUUCUGUCGCAGGCCAUGAAGGGCUUUUGGCAGCUUCCCUAUAGCUGUAGGUAAUUGAUGCAAUUCUCAAUUAGAAAGUUGGAGCCAUAUAGAAAAGCUUAAAAAAUUUAAGUGAAAAUCACCUGAAAUCUCAGAGGUAGCCUGUGGUGACAUUUUGGUGAACAUUUCUCCACAUGCAUGGGUGCACACACCAUACACACCUCCAGACACGUCCCCAGUCAAGAAAUUAAUAUAAUUUCGGCAAGAUGGGGGAGGGUUCUGGGGCAAAGGCCACAAAGAUAAGGAUAGGACGUCAUCCUCGGAAAGGGCAUUGUUGCCUCAGAACAUCUGGGAGGAAGUAACAAUGAUGAAAGGAUUAGCGUUGGGUAUGUAGAGAGGAAGACAGAAAGGCUAAGGCCUCAGGGAGGUUGAAGGAGGUUAUAAAAACAUGAUGGUUAAGAAAUCAGAGAUACACAGGACAAUAAAAUAAGCAGGAAUGGGAAGAUUCUUGGGAAAGAAUCAGGCUGGUUUAUUUAAAACUCUGUCACCCCAAACCCCGGGGUUUAUUCAUUCAUUCAUUCAAUGAACAUUUAUUGAUACCUGCUAUGUAUCAUCACAUCCUAGGAGCUAAGGACUGCAAAGGUGAAUGAGACAUGGUCCCUGAACCCCAGGGAAUUUGUGGUCAGCUGAAGGAAAGAGUCACCAGGUAAUUAGGGUACAACAUGCCAGUUGUAAGAGGAAGGCAUGCAAACAGAGAAAAUUUUCUAGAGAAGGGCCAACCAAGUGGGCAACUACUGGAUGAAUAGGAGUUCUCCAGUUUGGGGUGAGUGGGAUGAGGUGGGGAGAGUGACCCAAGGGAAGGAACAAAAUUUGCAAAGGUAUGAAGGUGAGACCAAUCGCUGGGGUAAUUGAUAUGAGAUCAGGGAAGGUGAGGGGGCAGGGAGAGUAACAAAGACAGGUAGAAAAGAAACAAGGUUCUGAUCCAGGAGAACAGUAGCUUUUAAAGUUUUUUAUUAUAAGCCACAGGAAGAACUUCAUUUCCUAUUUUGGCCCUGUACAAUCAUAUACACAUACACAUGCGUGUGUGUGUGUGUAUCUAAAGCAAAGGUCAGCAAAACAAUAUUUCACUCUGCAACAUGACAUUCAUUCUGAUAUUUGUUUUAAAAUGUUGGUCAGGGGGCGCCUGGCCGGCUCAGUUGGUUAAGCAGCUGCCUUCGGCUCAGGUCAUGAUCCCGGGGCCCUGGGGUCAAGCCCCGCAUCAGGCUCCCUGCUCAGCGGAGAGCCUGCUUCUCCCUCUCCCUCUGCCUGCCUCUCUGCCUACUUGUGCUCUUUCUCUCUAUCUCUCUGUCAAAUAAAUAAGGAAAAUCUUUAAAAAAAAAAUAAAAUGUUGGUCAGGGGUGAAAUAAGCUGAUCACAAAAUAGUUCACAUCAUAUGAUUUCAUUCCUUUAAAAUUCUAUAGUAGGUGAAACUAAUUUAUAGUGGUAUAAAUGACAUCAGUGGCUGCCUGGGAUGUGGACUGGGUGGGGGCAAGAUUAACUGCAAAAAAGUGAAAGAGAACUUUCUCAAGAGAUGGAAAUUUUCUAUAUCUUGAUUGGGGUGGUGGUUACAUGGGCACAUGCAUUUGUCAAAAACAAAUACAUAAAAAUACAUGUAUGUGAGGGAACUUUCUCAGGUGGUGUUGAUGUUCUAUAUCUUGAUAAAGGAUUUGCAUUGCACAGGUGAAUGCAUUUGUCAAAACUCAUCAAAUGGUACACUUAUGAUCUGUGCACUUCACUAUAUGCAAAUUUUACAUCAAAAAGAAAAAAGACUGUAGACAAAAAUUGAACUGUAGUUGAUGAGAUGCAUGCUGAAGUGUUAGGAGAAAGUAUUGUGGUGUCUGCAACUCACCACUUCGAAAUGGUUAGAGCAAUGGAAAGUUUGACAGAGAUAUGAUAAAGAAAAUAUAAUACAAAUGCUAAUGCAUGUCAAGAUAACUCAAUGAAGAAAGACUAGUCUUUUUAAUACAUGAUGCUGGAUAUCCACCUACAAAAGAAUGAAGCUGGAUCCCUACCUCACAUCAUAUACAAAAAAUAAUUCAAACUGAUCAAGGACCUAAAUACAAGAGCUAAACUAUAAAACUCUUAGGAGAAGGCAUAGGUAUAAAUCUUCCUGACCUUGGACUAGGCAAUGGUUUCUUAGCUAUGACACAAAAAAGUACAAUCAACAAAAGAAAAAAAAAAUAAGGAAACUUGACAUCAUCAAAUAGAUGUGGUUUAGAGGAUUCCAUCAAGAAAGUGGAAAGAUGAUCCACAGAACUGAAGAACAUCUUUGCCAAUCAUGUAUCUGAUAAGAGACUUGUCUCUAGACUAUGUAAACAACAAUUACACUUCAGUAAUAACAAUUCAGAUGACCCGAUUUUAAAAUGAUAAAGAAUCUGAACAGACAGUUCUCCAAAAAAGAUAUACAAGUGGCCAACAAGCACAUGAAAAAAUAGUCAACAUCAUCAGGGAGAUGCAAAUAAAAACCACCAUGAGAUACUGUUUUGUAGCCACCAAGACAGCAAUUAUCAAACAGACAAUUGCAAGUGUUGGUGAGGAGGUAGAGAAAUUGUAACCCUGUAUGCAGCUGGUGGGGAUGUAAAAUGGUGCAGCCACUUUGGAAAACAGGCUGGCAGUUUAUGAUCCAGCAAUUUCACUCCUGGGCAUAUAACCCAAGAGAAAUUAAAACAUGUGUCCAUAUAAAAACUUGUACACAAAUGUUCACAGCAGCAUUAUGUGUAAUAGCCAAAGGGUAGAAAUGACCCAGAUGUUCAUCAACUGACAGUGGAUAAGUAAAAUGUGGCAUAUCCAUACAGGAGAGUAUUAUUUGGGAAUAAAAAGGAAUGUAUAUUGGUACCCGCCACAACAUGGAUGAACCUGGAAAACAUGAUGCUAAGUGAAAGAAGCCAGUUGCAAAGGCUCACAUGUUGUGUGUUCUAUUUAUAUGGAAUGUCCACAGUAGGCAAAUCCAUAGAGACAGAAAGCAGACUAGUGUUGCCCAGGGCUGGAGGUGGGAAGGGCAGAGUAGGAGAUUGAUGGUUAAAGGGUGCAGGUUUUCUCUGGGAGGAUGAAAAUGUUCUAAAAUUGAUUGUGGUGACAAAGAUACAAAAGUAGGGAUCUGAAGGAGUACGUGCACCCCGAUGUUUAUAGCAGCAAUGUCCACAAUAGCCAAACUGUGGAAAGAGCCAAGAUGUCCAUUGACAGAUGAAUGGAUAAAGAAGAUGUGGUAUAUAUAUACAAUGGAAUAUUAUGCAGCCAUCAAAAGGAAUGAGAUCUUGCCAUUUGCAACGACGUGGAUGGAACUGGAGGGUAUUAUGUUGAGCGAAAUAAGUCAAACAGAGAAAGACAUGUAUCAUAUGAUCUCACUGAUAUGAGGAA